UGGGAAUAUUGCACAAUGGGCGAAAGCCUGAUGCAGCAACGCCGCGUGAGUGAUGAAGGCCUUCGGGUUGUAAAGCUCUGUCUUUUGGGACGAUAAUGACGGUACCAAAGGAGGAAGCCACGGCUAACUACGUGCCAGCAGCCGCGGUAAUACGUAGGUGGCAAGCGUUGUCCGGAUUUUACUGGGCGUAAAGGAUGCGUAGGCGGAUUUUUAAGUGAGAUGUGAAAUACCCGGGCUUAACUUGGGUGCUGCAUUUCAAACUGGGAAUCUAGAGUGCGGGAGAGGAGAAUGGAAUUCCUAGUGUAGCGGUGAAAUGCGUAGAGAUUAGGAAGAACACCAGUGGCGAAGGCGAUUCUCUGGACCGUAACUGACGCUGAGGCAUGAAAGCGUGGGUAGCAAACAGGAUUAGAUACCCUGGUAGUCCACGCCGUAAACGAUGAGUACUAGGUGUAGGAGGUAUCGACCCCUUCUGUGCCGCAGUUAACACAAUAAGUACUCCGCCUGGGAAGUACGAUCGCAAGA
rnacentral:rRNA from 1 species